UACGUAGGGGGCAAGCGUUGUCCGGAAUCAUUGGGCGUAAAGCGCGUGUAGGCGGCUGACUAAGUCCGCUCUGAAAGCCCGGGGCUCAACCCCGGGAGGCGGGUGGAUACUGGUCAGCUCGAGUCCGGAAGAGGAGUGUGGAAUUCCUGGUGUAGCGGUGAAAUGCGCAGAUAUCAGGAGGAACACCAAUGGCGAAGGCAGCACUCUGGGACGGUACUGACGCUGAGACGCGAAAGCGUGAGGAGCAAACAGG
rnacentral:rRNA from 1 species